GACGAACGCUGGCGGCGUGCUUAACACAUGCAAGUCGAACGGAAAGGCCCUGCUUUUGUGGGGUGCUCGAGUGGCGAACGGGUGAGUAACACGUGAGUAACCUGCCCUUGACUUUGGGAUAACUUCAGGAAACUGGGGCUAAUACCGGAUAGGAGCUCCUGCUGCAUGGUGGGGGUUGGAAAGUUUCGGCGGUUGGGGAUGGACUCGCGGCUUAUCAGCUUGUUGGUGGGGUAGUGGCUUACCAAGGCUUUGACGGCUAGCCGGCCUGAGAGGGUGACCGGCCACAUUGGGACUGGGAUACGGCCCAGACUCCUACGGGAGGCAGCAGUGGGGAAUAUUGCACAAUGGGCGGAAGCCUGAUGCAGCAACGCCGCGUGCGGGAUGACGGCCUUCGGGUUGGAAACCGCUUUCGCCUGUGACGAAGCGUGAGUGACGGUAAUGGGGAAAGAAGCACCGGCUAACUACGU
rnacentral:rRNA from 1 species